rnacentral:rRNA from 1 species
CACAAGGAGAGCUUGCUCUCUGGGUGACGAGCGGCGGUACAGGGUGAGUAAUGUCUGGGAAACUGCCUGAUGGAGGGGCGUAUAACUACUGGAAACGGUAGCUAAUACCGCAUAACGUCUUCGGACCAAAGUGGGGGACCUUCGGGCCUCACGCCAUCAGAUGUGCCCAGAUGGGAUUAGCUAGUAGGUGGGGUAAUGGCUCACCUAGGCGACGAUCCCUAGCUGGUCUGAGAGGAUGACCAGCCACACUGGAACUGAGACACGGUCCAGACUCCUACGGGAGGCAGCAGUGGGGAAUAUUGCACAAUGGGCGCAAGCCUGAUGCAGCCAUGCCGCGUGUGUGAAGAAGGCCUUCGGUGUUGUAAAGCACAUUGUCAGCGAGGAGGAAGGGUGGUGUGUUAAUAGCGCAUCACA